UACAGAGGUCCCAAGCGUUGUUCGGAUUCACUGGGCGUAAAGGGUGCGUAGGCGGCGCGGUAAGUCGGGUGUGAAAUCUCGGAGCUUAACUCCGAAACUGCAUUCGAUACUGCCGUGCUUGAGGACUGGAGAGGAGACUGGAAUUUACGGUGUAGCGGUGAAAUGCGUAGAUAUCGUAAGGAAGACCAGUGGCGAAGGCGAGUCUCUGGACAGUUCCUGACGCUGAGGCACGAAGGUCAGGGGAGCAAACGGG
rnacentral:rRNA from 1 species